AUUGAACGCUGGCGGCAUGCCUUACACAUGCAAGUCGAACGGUAACAGGUCUUCGGAUGCUGACGAGUGGCGAACGGGUGAGUAAUACAUCGGAACGUGCCUAGUAGUGGGGGAUAACUACUCGAAAGAGUGGCUAAUACCGCAUGAGAUCUACGGAUGAAAGCAGGGGAUCGCAAGACCUUGUGCUACUAGAGCGGCCGAUGGCAGAUUAGGUAGUUGGUGGGAUAAAAGCUUACCAAGCCGACGAUCUGUAGCUGGUCUGAGAGGACGAUCAGCCACACUGGGACUGAGACACGGCCCAGACUCCUACGGGAGGCAGCAGUGGGGAAUUUUGGGCAAUGGGCGCAAGCCUGAUCCAGCAAUGUCGCGUGCAGGAUGAAGGCCUUCGGGUUGUAAACUGCUUUUGUACGGAACGAAAAGCCCCGGGUUAAUACCCUGGGGUCAUGACGGUACCGUAAGAAUAAGCACCGGCUAACUACGUGCCAGCCGCCGCAGUAA
rnacentral:rRNA from 1 species